GUGGGCAGACCUUAAUGUUAGGGAUAGCCCAGACAUGUACCUGUGGCUUUCACUCCCAGCAGUCUGUGAGAAGCCCUGCAGCUACCUUUGCCUCCACCUCUGCUGCGCCUGCACGGAGCCCUGGGAGGCCUGCAUUGACGCUGGCGAUGUUUGAGAAAGCGCGGUUUGGUGGGACUUUGUCUGCUGCAGCCAAGCCGAAUGUCAAUCUGACCAGGAGGCCUGUUGAGCGUCCCUCCAGCCCUGCCACUGUCCCGUCUGGGAGAAGCACUCCAUCCGCUACCCCACCUCGAGUGACGCCCCCUUCCAGUCCCAGAUUCUACAGGCCUGUCUCCCCUUUCUCUCUGCCUCCAUCCAGCCCCAUCAUGUCGGCGGCGAGGACCAGCUCUUCUCCUCUGGUUGAAUCAGAUACGAGUCCUGCUCCUCCAGGUCUCCUCCCUGCUCCUCCAGGUCUCCUCCCUGCUCCUCCAGGUCUCCUCCCUGCUCCUCCAGGUCCCCUCCCUGCUCCUCCUGGUCCCCUCCCUGCUCCUCCUGGUCCCCUCCCUGCUCCUCCUCUUGCUGCUCAGUUCUGGCUGCCGGUGGAAAUGAGGAAGACCAUUCCCCAGCAGGACCAGCGCUGGAUUGCAUCCACGCUGUGGAGGAACCAGCGGCUGCGACCGGACGUCCAGCUCUGGUAUGAGCCACCUGUUCCUGCCCUCAUCUACAACCAGGUCCCAUCACCAGACCGCUUUUUUAUGCACCGGCUCCUGGUGU
ensembl:lncRNA